GACGAACCGUCCAAACGUUAUUCGGAAUCACUGGGCUUACAGAGUUCGUAGGCGGUCUGGAAAGUUGGGUGUGAAAUCCCUCGGCCUAACCGAGGAACUGCGCUUGAAACUACCAGACUCGAGGGAGAUAGAGGAAAGCGGAACUGAUGGUGGAGCGGUGAAAUGCGUUGAUAUCAUCAGGAACACCGGUGGCGAAGGCGGCUUCUGGGUCUUACCUGACGCUGAGGAACGAAAG
rnacentral:rRNA from 1 species